rnacentral:rRNA from 1 species
UUGGCCUCAAAUCAGGUAGGACUACCCGCUGAACUUAACAUUACCAUUACCGAAGAAA